UACGUAGGGGGCAAGCGUUAUCCGGAAUUAUUGGGCGUAAAGCGUGCGCAGGCGGCUAAGAAGGUCAGGGGUGAAAGGCAUUGGCUUAACCAAUGUAAGCCUUUGAAACCGAUUAGCUUGAGUGCAGGAGGGGAAAGUGGAAUUCCUAGUGUAGCGGUGAAAUGCGUAGAGAUUAGGAAGAACACCAGUGGCGAAGGCGGCUUUCUGGCCAGUUACUGACGCUCAUGCGCGAAAGCUGGGGUAGCGAACCGGAUUAGAUACCCCGUAGUCCCUGAGCGGG
rnacentral:rRNA from 1 species